ACCAUCCUGCCGCUCCCUCCACCUGUAGCGCCUGCUCCUCCCCUUCCUUUCCUCCUUCGCCGCCUCUGGUUCCAGACCAAGUGAUGUGGACGAGGAGAUGAUAGCUCGGGAGGCAGGCAAGAUGAACCAGGCCGUUCUCCACUCAUGAAAUCCCUAGCUCAUUUCGUUCCCCACGCCCGCCGCCGGCGACCUCGCUCCUCCCUCCCAUGGCGCCACCGCCCCAACCCAUAGCCGUCUCCCUCUCCUUUCCUUCCCUCUCCACUCCUUUCAAUGGUGGCAUAUCUGAAGGGGGCGAGGUCCUUGGUGUAGAGAGAGGUUGGCAGCAUUUGCUCCCUCCACUUCCAAUGACAGGUGCCUCCAUCUCUGCCAACCAACCUUUGGUGACCAGCAGGUAGGCAUCCAUGGCGGUAACAACAGAGGUAAGAUCUCUUUCCCUCUCGUGUGGUUCCUCCCUCCACUCCCCCUACUGGUCGCAUCAUGCAUAUUGAAACCCUAGCGUGCAGAUUUAUAGUUGUCUAAAAAGUAUUUUCAUGAAUUCGUUACACAUGGGUAAAGGACUGUUAGGUAAGAACAAUUGCAUCUAUGUGUUUUCAGCAAGAGAGAGAAUGACAGAGUUAACAUUCAGAUUUAAGCAAUAGAUUGAUGUAACAUUUGUUCUGGAGUUUAAUAACGAGAUAAGAUAAAGGUUCUUUUAAUUUACUGAAAUUAAAUUUUACUUGAGUGAUGUCCUAAGGUCAACCUAUAUACAUGCACAUGUCUGAACUGAAAAUACAGCCACACACCAACUUCACACAGUACAAAAUUGAUAUGAUGCUUGCGUUGUGACUGAGUGUCUUAUGGCGCAAUGUCUCUGAAUAAAGUGCAUGGGUUAGAAAUUAACUGAAAGUACUGAACAAAAUUAUUGACAUCAGAGAGGAGGAAAAUAUGAGUUUAAUUUCUCAGUUACAACAGUAAUUGUACUGUAUCUGUAACGAUAUAUUCUUAUCAUGAUAAUAAAUAUUUGGUUCACAGCUAUUGAUUAUCACAAAUAGAAACCAACAAAUGCAUUACAUAUGUUCAGUAAAGCCUUUCAAUAUUUUUUCGUCGGUGUCACAAAAUGAACACUCCAAGUGGUAUGUUUGAGCAUCCAUUCGUGAUUGCUCAUACGUGAUGUGGUGAUUACUUGGUAUGUAUGUCUUGCUUGCAUAUCUUAACUGAAGAUCCAUUUGUAAAGUACAAGACUGAGAAGUGAGAACUACCUUCAGGUUGCACAAAAGUUCCAAAUAAUCAUACUAAUGAUUUAGCCUUUCAGUUGAGCAUUGUAGAACUGUCACAAAUAUAAGAGUCUAUAUUUAAUCUGCAUGUUCUGAGAACAAGAACUUCAGCUUAUUUAACCCUGCUAUGGAAUAAUUAGCUCGAGAAUCACAAUGAGCCUUUUGUUUUCUUU
rnacentral:lncRNA from 1 species